GACGAACGCUGGCGGCGUGCUUAACACGUGCAAGUCGAACGGAAAGGCCCUGCUUUUGUGGGGUGCUCGAGUGGCGCACGGGUGAGUAACACGUGAGUAACCUGCCCUUGACUUUGGGAUAACUUCAGGAAACUGGGGCUAAUACCGGAUAGGAGCUCCUGCUGCAUGGUGGGGGUUGGAAAGUUUCGGCGGUUGGGGAUGUACUCGCGGCUUAUCAGCUUGUUGGUGGGGUAGUUGCUUACCAAGGCUUUGACGGGUAGCCGGCCUGAGAGGGUGACCGGCCACAAGGGGACUGAGAGACGGCCCAGACGCGUACGGGAGGCAGCAGUGGGGAAUAUGACACAAUGAGCGGAAGCCUGAUGCAGAAACGCUGCGUGCGGGAAGACGGCCUUCGGGUUGUAAACCGCUGUCGCCUGUGACGAAGCGGGAGUGACGGUAAUGGGUAAAGAAGCACCGGCUAACUACGUG
rnacentral:rRNA from 1 species